rnacentral:rRNA from 1 species
GUGGGUAGUUUGACUGGGGCGGUCUCCUCCUAAAGAGUAACGGAGGAGCACGAAGGUUGGCUAAUCCUGGUCGGACAUCAGGAGGUUAGUGCAAUGGCAUAAGCCAGCUUGACUGCGAGCGUGACGGCGCGAGCAGGUGCGAAAGCAGGUCAUAGUGAUCCGGUGGUUCUGAAUGGAAGGGCCAUCGCUCAACGGAUAAAAGGUACUCCGGGGAUAACAGGCUGAUACCGCCCAAGAGUUCAUAUCGACGGCGGUGUUUGGCACCUCGAUGUCGGCUCAUCACAUCCUGGGGCUGAAGUAGGUCCCAAGGGUAUGGCUGUUCGCCAUUUAAAGUGGUACGCGAGCUGGGUUUAGAACGUCGUGAGACAGUUCGGUCCCUAUCUGCCGUGGGCGCUGGAGAACUGAGGGGGGCUGCUCCUAGUACGAGAGGACCGGAGUGGACGCAUCACUGGUGUUCGGGUUGUCAUGCCAAUGGCACUGCCCGGUAGCUAAAUGCGGAAGAGAUAAGUGCUGAAAGCAUCUAAGCACGAAACUUGCCCCGAGAUGAGUUCUCCCUGAGACUUAAAGUCUCCUGAAGGAACGUUGAAGACGACGACGUUGAUAGGCCGGGUGUGUAAGCGCAGCGAUGCGUUGAGCUAACCGGUACUAAUGAAC